GAUGAACGCUGGCGGCGUGCCUAACACAUGCAAGUCGAACGGAGUGGCGAACGGCUGAGGAACACGUGGGCAACCUGCCCUCACCUUGGGGAUAGCCUCGGGAAACCGGGAUACUACCCGAUAGAGCAGGAUGGCCAGCUGCCUGUUAGCUGGUUGGUGUGGUAGAGGCCUACCAAGGGCAUGAUGGGUAGCUCGGUUGAGAGACCGACCAGCCAGAUGGGGACUUAGACACGGCCCAGACGCCUACUGGAGGCAUCGGUGGGGAAUCUUGCACAAUGGGCGAAAGCCUGAUGCAGCGACGCCGCGUGCGUGACGAAAUCCUUCGAGUUGAAAACCGCUUUCAUCAGGGACGCGGUACCUGCAGAAGAAGCCCCGGCUAACUACGUGCCAGCAGCCGCGGUAAUUC
rnacentral:rRNA from 1 species